CCUCACCUUCCGUGGGGGUAUAAAUUCCACCAAGAAUCAUCAACCUAGACGACAGCUUUGUGGCUUGCCGCCCUGAAACUCCCUACCUGCGACACACAGAACAUCCCUUCUGGUCCGGAGAAAACUCAGAAGCCGGUCUCCAUUUCCAAAUCUAUCUGGCUUUGGAUAGAACUGAUGUACUACUUAAUGGUUCACCCAAAAAUGCCCAGAAAGAAUUUAUUCGAACGCGUCCCUUUCGAUUUAAUGCCAUCUGCAUCUCCGGGAGCCACUUAGGAAUACUCGCGGAAACCACCAGCCCCUCUGUCCACAUUUUUCAAUUAUCCAGCUGAGGCCUGGGAACGUUUGUUGAGGUUGGGUGGUUUCUCAAGGGUUAAGGCCAGAAAUGUUUGAAGAAAAUCAGCUUAAAUAUGUUGUACAACAAACAUGUUAUUGCGGGUCCUGGAGUUAGGCUAUGAUAAUGAAUUUCAGACUCAAAUAUUUUCUUUGAUUGUCACAAAAGUAUGCGAGGAGCCCAGGGUUUGCUUUCAGAGUUCGGCGUGGAGUUGGUGGCAUUUCGUUACCAGAGGCCAAUUGUAAGAAAAUUAUUUUCACAGCCAGAAGUGCUGAUAGGGCAAAGGGAGGGGGAACCCGCAUACCCUGUGUUGUGGAUGGUUAUUUAAAAGAAGGAUGAAUAAUAGCCACUGGUAUUUAAGUACUUCUGAAAGAAUGGCUUGGUGACAGAUACAAGUCACCGUAAAUCCAGCCAUCUGAGCUUAAUGACACUUGCUUCUGAGACCCUCCACUGCCCUUCCCAAGUAGACAGGGAUAUCUUCUCAUUGGUCUGAAGAGGAGCUCUCCGUUAGGUCAUUAAACAAGUCAAUAAUGUUGUGCAGUCAAACUAGAAGAAAAUACGCCGUUCGUCCUCCUCUCCCAGUGUUUACUGACCGUCAGGAUUCAUCACUGAGAGCCUGAGAGUUUGCUAUAAUUUUUUAAUUGGGUCCAGCUGCCAUGCUUUGCUUGGAUACCAGGCAGGACAAGAGCAAGACGAACCUAAGAGGAAGAUGGGCAUUUUGCCUGAUAAAGGAUUACGGUGGAAGUGAAAGGCUGACCUACAGUCAGGAAAUGUUAAUCAUUUUUACACCAAAGUGAGUGUAACGUUUCUAUAGGGAAAUUACUUCAAUUUGGUCAGUGCGGGGGGAGCAGUUUGUAUAAUCGGAUUGCAAAUAAGGUUUGAUCAGUUUCCAGCUUAAUCUACUCUCUGAGCACCAUUUACGCCACUAAAUCAAACCCAGAGAAGCUGCCUGCACGGUUUUACAGUCAUUACACCCAAGGGGCAGGGACUCGGUAAUAAACAGCAAAUAAAUCGCAGCACUGACUUGCCCGCUACAGGGCAUUUCUAAUUAUCCUCUAGUUUAGUUAGAAAUUGCUGUGCUCCCGUCAAGGCCUUCUUUAACCGCCGCUAAGAAGAGUGAUACUUCUAGGCAGAAUUAAUUGCGAAUAUGGAGAAAUGGAGAUUGUGCUUCUCUUUCCUUCCUCCCCCCACUUUGCCCCUCCCACCACUCCACCACCUUAUUGGAGGCAUUUAAAAAGCCCCGAGCAAGGUAUGCACGAGGCGUUCGUCUCUCUCCCUCCUCUCGAGAGGGAACCACAAAUCCAGCGUCUCUAGACUACAGCGUGCUGCACUUUGGAUGCAAAGAGCCGCCAGGGUGGAUGGUGCUAAUAACAGUGACUUACAAAGCAUCUCAAGGGGACCGAGGAAGUGACAGAGGCUCAUUCCAUGCUUGGACUUUGCAGAGGGUAGAGGGACCCACCCAUCUAUGGAACCAGACCAUACAGACCGAGUUGGAUAAAGCAGGCUGCAGGUGCCUUUGGUCUCCGCUGCUGAAUUACCAGAAUAUCACAGAGGCCCACUCUGAAAAGUGUAGUCCCAGGUAUAUCUUGAAGAUGACUGAAGGGACUGCUUGGGAAAUACCAUCAGAAGACAGGGUACUCAAAUCCUCCAAGCUGUCUGGAAUGAAAACCUGACUGAAGUCAUCCUCUGUGCAGGUGACCAGAAGGCAUGCUAUGGCCUAAGACAAUUUCUCUCUCAAGUUCAAGGGCAGUGACAUCAAGCCAUGGUGUAAAGAUACACUAUUUGCCAUAUGAUGACGAGGGGUCCGGAUCUCCUCUUCAUCGGCACAGAAAGCACUACCGCCUGAAUCAACCCAAGGAUCAUUCAGAAGAAAAUCACCUUUGUGUGAAAGCACGGAGAUUGGGCUUUGUCACUGAUCAUUGUGUCCUGUCCAAUGGUCAACCCAGCCUGGCUUCUUCCCUUGCCGUUGGGGGGAAUGCAGAAAAGCCUGGGGUCUGGAAACCACAUCCAAAGGCGGUGAGCGUGACACAGCGGUGUGCAGCCGCCAGACACCCCGGUGGGACUCUCGACUCUGUUCCCUUUUACUCUUGGGCAGUGAUUUCUCCCCGUCUCGGUGCCUUCUCGCCCAGCAUCCUGGAGACCUUUCUGUGUAGGACUAGCCUGACCCCACCUUCCUUGCUCUCAUCCUAAUCCCAAGCUCCGUCCUAAAUUCCUUCAUGAAUUCCUCAACCUGACAACUUCAGCCUUCUUUAAGCCCCUCCCUUUGUUAAUUACCCCAUGUGCAUCUUGUCCACAUUACCUGUUUGAUGCAGGCGUGUGUUAAACUGCCCGGUGGUAUCCAAGAUGGCGGCAGCAAGCCGAGUAUGUCCAACAUGUUCCUGACAUGAGUAGAUGAAGCUGAGGAAUACUGUCAUACAGGUUGCGUGUUUUGAAAAGUUAAUACCAAAAGGGAGGGCAUGUCAAGGUUUUUGCAUUUUGAUUCUGUGUCUAAGUGGUGCUUUAGUUUUGCAUGAUUAAAUAAAAUACCGUUGGAAUCAAUUUUACCCAUCUCAUCUGACUCUGUCAACUGUAUCACGUGUGGCUCCCCUUUGUGACGUGCAUUACAUUUUUUGCCUACGUACAUCCUGCUGUGUCAUGCUGAUGUGUUUAUAAAAAGAUAAAGAAAGGAGGGAUAUGUUUUGUGGGGGUGUGGUGAGGUGCGGGCAAGGGAGUGCCUCAGUAGCAUCCCUUCCCUGUGAGGGACCAGUCACAUGAUGCUAUAGUGCAGAAGAGAGUUUAUUCAGAGCAUGGGAUGGGGAAGGGGGUCAAGAGGGUAGUAGAGGCAGAGAGAGAGAGAGAGAGACAGAGAGAGAGAGAGAGAGAGAGAGAGAGAGAGAGAGGAGAAGGGAAGGGGAGGGGAGGGGAGGGGAGGAGAGAGAAGGGAAGGAGAGGAGAAGAGAAGAGAGAAGAGGAGAGAAGAGAAGAGAAGAAGAGGAGAGGAGAGGAGAGGAGAGGAGAGGAGAGGAGAAGAGAAGAGAAGAGAAGAGAAGAGAAGAGAAGAGAAGAGAAGAGAAGAGAAGAGAAGAGAACAGGAGGCCCUCCAUGAGCACGUGGAGAGAGGUGGGAGGGGAAUGGGAGGACCGAGCAGAGACAGGAAGGCAAGAGCAAAAGAGCAAGAAAGAGGGGGAGCAAGCAGCCCCUUUCAUAGUGUCAGGCAUACCUGGCUGUUGCCAGGUAACUGUAGGGCAGAGCAUACCUGGCUGUUGCUAGGUAACUGUAGGGCGGAGCAUAACUGGCUGUUGCCAGGUAACUGUGGGGCGGAGCUUAGACAGAAUGCUAACACAGGCAAAAGAGGCUAUAGAAGAGCCCCUCCUUUCCUAAAGGAUGACAGGCUAAGCCCUUGAACCGUCCAGCCUGCCUGCAGCAUUGAAAUAAGAUAGGAAGUUCAUCAGGGUCUGGAGACACAGUUCAGUCGGCAAAGUGCUUUCUGCCCCAGACUGACGACCUGAGCUCAAACCUCAACACACACACACAAAGUUAGACAUGAUGGCACAUGUUUGUAAUUCUAGUACUGAGAGGAGAGAAUCCUUGGGGUUCGUUAGCCGAAUCAUUGAGCCUUACAGUCCUGUGAGAGGCCCUAUCAAUCCUGAGGAACGAUAUCUAAGAUUGACCUUCUGGUGUUUCUCCUACAGAUGCACACACAUGCACCCCCACCUGAACACACACACUCUCACACAUGCACCCCCACCUGAACAUACACUCUCAUACUUAUACACACACGUACUCUCACACAUACUCACACACAUGCAUCCCCACAUGAACACACACACUCUCAUACACUUACACACAUGCACCCCCACAUGAAGACACAUACAUACUUAUACAGACAAGUGAACACACACACUCACACAAUGCACCCCCACAUGAACCCACACACUCACACACAUGCACCCCCACGUGAACACACACACUCACACAAUGCACCCCCGCAUGAACCCACACACUCACACACAUGCACCCCCACGUGAACACACACACAUACACUCACACAAUGCACCCCACGUGAACAUACGCAAAGUGAUCAUCAGAUGAAAGUCUAAUCCCCAGCAUCCUCACAUGUCUCUCUCCAUGGCCUCUUCUUUCUAAGGCCUGUAGAGCUGUUCUUUACUCCUGAGGGUAGACAGGAGCUAGCCCCAACCAGCCUCUCAGCCUUUCCUUUUGGCUCCCUUCCCUGGAGGCGGUCCCACCCUCCGAUGAUGUUGAUUCGACCCCACCCCCACUGUUUAUCAAUGAUCCAUUCACAUGUCUGUGUGAAUGACUGAUUAGCAAAAGUCCGGCCCUCCUCUCCCAUUGUCCUUUCAGCAAAGGCAGAAAUCUCCAAGUUAGCUCAACAGAAGUGCAACUUAACAAAGUGACCAUAUGCUCAGCGAGCUGCAGGAAGGGGGCGCUCUCAGACGUCUAACCUUGAGAGGCCUGAGAGGCCACCCUGCCUUCAUUUUCUGUCCAAGUGCGCCGGGAACAAAACAGAAGCUUUUGCAGUGGGCUCCUGAAUAGGAGUGGUGCAUGAGCCUCCCCUGACCAGACGCUGCUGUGCCUCGGUUAUUUACCACCUCUGGUUGCCUGUGUCUUCUCUCUGACUGUCCUUCAGUCACUACGGCAUCUUCUAGACACACCGUCUUUUCCCAUAUGCUCCCUGUUGUGGCUUCCUGUCCUCACUGUCCCGUGGUUGGUGACAGUUUCGUCUUCAUUGAGGGAUCGUCUUACUCACACCUGGGGACCACGGCUGCUUUAGAUUCUAAUCCAUGGGGGUCUUAAAUCUCCGAAGAGUUUCCUGCAGAAAAACCUUGAUUAGCGGUGUUCCUUUUCGUCUGUUAGACUUAAAAUUCAGACCUUCCCUUGAGCUGACCUUUCUGGUUCCACUCCCUUAUCUUCUGGAGCUCCCUAGCCUUCCUGUCCCUCCCUGCUCUGCCCAGCAUCUGACUCCAUAGGCUUUAUCCCUAACCCCCACCAUGCUCGGUUCAGUGAUAUGCUCUGGUCCCGGCCAUAGACCUCUUCCCAGCCACCUUUGACCUCUGCUGGGCCACUCUUCAACACCUGUGGUGUCUCCCUCAUCCCCGGCUGCUUCUGCUCUGCCUCUUUAAUCCUUAAAAAAAAAGUUCUUUCAUGUUUCAUGUGCAGCAGCUACAUUGGCGGCACCCUUGUGACUGAAAAGCCUGACAGAACAGGUGUAGGAGGGAAAGACUUAUUUCCAUCCUGGCUCCAGGAUUCAGAGCUUGGACAGGACACAAUGGCAGAAGCAAAUGGAGAAGGCUGUUUACUCUGUGGGACUAACCUCCAAAGCAUGCCCUCGUGACCUACAUUGGCCAGCUAAGCCUCACCUCCCAAAGUCCCCACAGCAUCUCUAAAGAGUGCCUGCCACCGGUCAGCCACUCUUGAGUGUGUACCCCAAGAAUCUUCAGGGGACGUUUGAUACUUGAGUCAUUACAUCCUCCUGUAGUUUAUGCCUCAACUUCCCUUUCUUACCCAAGUCCCCAACGUUCUGUUUUAAGUUCUAUUCGCACAGUGUUCCCUCCUGAUAUCUGCACCCACAAGUUCAUGCACUCACACGAUACACAGAUCUCACUUGCCAUCGGUAGACCUCAGUGUCGCCACGGGACACUGUGUAUCUCUUAACCAUUUCAUCUCCCAGCAGAGACUGUCAAGCUUUUUACAGAAACUCACACCAAGAAGAAUUGAUUGACUUCCCAAAGUCACAUGGCCACCAUUCAAGGCCAGAUUCCAAGACUUAAACCUCAGCAUUCAUUGCAGAACACAUGCCAUUAUUUUAUAUGACAGUUGCAUGUUUUCUCAUUCCUGCUGCUACUGUCUGAGUUUCUUGCAGGCAGGGGCCUGAGGAUGAGAUUUUCUCUUCUUAUAGGAAAGAACUGGUUGUGGGGGGAUGGCUCAGUGGGAAGAGCGCUCGCUGAACUCAGAUUCCUAGCACCCAUGUCAACAAGCUAAGCUUGCCCAUGCUUGGGUAACUCCAGGGUUGGCGAAGACGGAGACAGGAGGAGCAUUAGGAUUGCUGGCUGCUAGCCCAGGUUCAGUGAGAGAUGCCAUCGGAAAGAGAUAAGGUAGAGAGUGUUAGAGAAGGUCAUCAUGUCCUCUGACUUUCCGGUGCAUGCAUAUACACCGAUAUAGACUUGCACAUGCAUGUACACACACACAAGAAGCAAGUGUUCCUUGGCUACAGCAUCCAGUUGCUCCAGGACUGGGCUUAUUAUAUGCCUCCUAGUAAACUGUUGACAAUUUCGCACCCGUAAAGUGCGUUCUGAAAGCCAGCCAAUGAACAACUUCAUUCUGGUUACUGCAUUUCGUAUCAACCAAUCAGCGUCAGGCUUACUGGAGUGUCAAGCAAUUCCUAAAUGCUCUUACCUCGGGGAAAAAUCCACUUCCCUGUUACCAUCUCCAUUCUUCCAAGCAUCCUUUAUAAAACGAGGCAUCAUCUCAUAUCCUGGCAGUGAGUAAAAACUGUGGAUCCCCUCUCUCUCCUACUCUUACCAAUCUUCCUGCACUACGCCAUCUGAUGUAAGAAAGUUUGGAGAUCAUUCCAACUUUGGGCUUACUGCACUUACGACAAAUGGAAUAUUCCAGCGUUCCUUUCAGUGCUUUCACGGGGAGUUCAAUUGUGUCUGACUGCGUGUCCACGUCACCUUGUUCUCCUUGCUGUUUUCUGGGUUUAUAUUUCCUAAGCCUUUAUUUUCAGCUGCUAAUAGUAGUUUAUUUACCCUUAUGUGAGUGGGCCUGUACACAGACGGCGUAGUAAGUGUCCAUGUGAAGGUCAGAGGACAACUGGGAGGGGUCAAUUCUUUCUUUUGUGCUUCCAUAGGUUUCGACUGGGGUCAAUAGAUUGGCGGCAAUUGCUUUUACCCGCUGAGCAGACUCACCAGCUGUCUAGAAGUUAUUGUGAAGACAAUUUUCAUAAACAGUAUAGAACUGGAUUGUGAUGUAAAUCCACUACAGAAUUGCCUUUCACUUUAAAAAGAACUCAAUCCCUUCAUACUAAUUGUAAUUUUUGAAACAUACUAUCUUAUUGUUUCAU